rnacentral:piRNA from 1 species
UAAGAGUGAGAGGCCUGGGUCAG